GGGAAACUCGCUUGUGUUUUCUUUAGAUUUAUAAAUUUGAGCUAUUUCUUUUAGAGGUGCUUUUAAAAAAAUUCAAUAGAUUCAAGAGAUGUUUCCUUUGGUUUUCUGCCAGUCAUCCAACUGGUACACACCUGAUUAUUUUAAAGAAAAGCCUCAGAGAGCUGAAUGGGCAGUGUAAUCAAUAAUUUAGAAGACAUGAAUGUCAUUUAAUUCUUUAUAAAGGAGAUCAAAGCCAGAGCAGCUCAUUGUGACAAUAUUUCACAUCAACAGAUAUACCAGGCAAUGGAAGUUGAAGCACAACCACUGUAGCAAAAUACCUUGACUGCUUGUGAGACCGUUAGCGUUGCAGGCCAAACCGUACUGUAUUUCCUUCUCAUAACCUCAAGGAACCACAUGUGCUACCCACAACACCUCAUUCCUACCCAGGGUGCGCUGCGUACUUGUGGUCCCCUAGGCAGCUGAAGAACUGCCGUUCCUUUGAAUAGGAACACCUGGCGUUCUGUAGUGUUUGGUGCUGUCUUAGAUUAAUGGUGCAUUUAUUAUGUUCAAGUUGUUUCAGGAUUGCCAUAUGUGCAAACAAAUCAUGCAGUGCAGCCAAGGAAUAUAUGUUGUUGUUUUUUUUUUUUUAAGUCCAUUUUUUUUUUUAGAAUUUUCAUUAAUACUGUAGUUAUACACCAUAUGCCUCGUUUUAUCAUAGCUUAUUGUAUAUGAAAGAUGUUUGUACAAUGAAUUGAUGUUUAGUUUGCUUUAGUCAUUUAAAAAGAUUUUGUACCAGGAGGUGCUAAUAAGAGUAUGUCUCCGUUUCUCUACCCAAGAACCUGUCCCUGGACCAAUGACCAAACCUCAUAUGUGAAAUGGCCAAAGCACAUGCAGACUUCCGGUUUGUUCCUCUCACACCUGUGUUGACCAAAGAUUAGUAAGCAGUUAUAUCCCGUGUUUGGGGUUUUUUGUUUUGUUUCAUUUUUAAUAACUAAAAAAAAAGAAAAAGAGAAAGAGAGCGAAACUAUAAAUUUGUAAUCAAGUGUUUGUGAGGAAAAACUUAUGGUUUUGGGUUUUUUUUGUUUUUGUAGGUCUAUGUAUCAAAUAUGACACUUUUCUCGCAAUAAAGCUUAUUUUGGG
rnacentral:lncRNA from 1 species